GUAGAGAGUUUGAUCMUGGCUCAGGAUUAACGCUGGCGGAGUGCCUAACACAUGCAAGUCGAGCGGCAGCGGGAGUAGUUUACUACUUGCCGGCGAGCGGCGGACGGCUGAGUAACGCGUGGGAAUGUGCCCCAAAGUGAGGAAUAACUGCCCGAAAGGGUAGCUAAUGCCGCAUAUGAUCUUCGGAUUAAAGGAUUUAUCCGCUUUGGGAGCAGCCCGCGUCAGAUUAGGUAGUUGGUGAGGUAAAGGCUCACCAAGCCGACGAUCUGUAGCUGGUCUGAGAGGAUGACCAGCCAGACUGGAACUGAGACACGGUCCAGACUCCUACGGGAGGCAGCAGUGAGGAAUCUUCCACAAUGGACGAAAGUCUGAUGGAGCAACUCCGCGUGCAGGAUGAAGGCCUUAGGGUCGUAAACUGCUUUUAUGAGUGAAGAAUAUGACGGUAACUCAUGAAUAAGGGUCGGCUAACUACGUGCCAGCAGCCGCGGUAAUA
rnacentral:rRNA from 1 species